UGGGGAAUAUUGCACAAUGGGCGCAAGCCUGAUGCAGCCAUGCCGCGUGUGUGAAGAAGGCCUUCGGGUUGUAAAGCACUUUCAGCGGGGAGGAAGGCGAUAAGGUUAAUAACCUUGUCGAUUGACGUUACCCGCAGAAGAAGCACCGGCUAACUCCGUGCCAGCAGCCGCGGUAAUACGGAGGGUGCAAGCGUUAAUCGGAAUUACUGGGCGUAAAGCGCACGCAGGCGGUCUGUCAAGUCGGAUGUGAAAUCCCCGGGCUCAACCUGGGAACUGCAUUCGAAACUGGCAGGAUAGAGUCUUGUAGAGGGGGGUAGAAUUCAAGGUGUGGCGGUGAAAUGCGUAGAGAUCUGGAGGAAUACCGGUGGCGAAGGCGGCCCCCUGGACAAAGACUGACGCUCAGGUGCGAAAGCGUGGGGAGCAAACAGG
rnacentral:rRNA from 1 species